UACGGAGGGAGCUAGCGUUAUUCGGAAUUACUGGGCGUAAAGCGCACGUAGGCGGCUUUGUAAGUAAGAGGUGAAAGCCUGGUGCUCAACACCAGAACUGCCUUUUAGACUGCAUCGCUUGAAUCCAGGAGAGGUGAGUGGAAUUCCGAGUGUAGAGGUGAAAUUCGUAGAUAUUCGGAAGAACACCAGUGGCGAAGGCGGCUCACUGGACUGGUAUUGACGCUGAGGUGCGAAAGCGUGGGGGAGCAAACAGG
rnacentral:rRNA from 1 species